rnacentral:rRNA from 1 species
GACCUCCUACGGGGGGCAGCAGUGAGGAAUAUUGGUCAAUGGUCGGGAGACUGAACCAGCCACGCCGCGUGAGGGAUGAAGGUACAGAGUAUCGUAAACCUCUUUUGUCAGGGAACAAAGGCGGGGACGCGUCCCCGGAUGAGUGUACCUGAAGAAAAAGCAUCGGCUAACUCCGUGCCAGCAGCCGCGGUAAUACGGAGGAUGCGAGCGUUAUCCGGAUUUAUUGGGUUUAAAGGGUGCGCAGGCGGUCUGCUAAGUCAGCGGUCACAGCCCGGGGCUCAACCCCGGCCC